rnacentral:rRNA from 1 species
GCUACGGGGGGCAGCAGUGGGGAAUAUUGCACAAUGGGGGAAACCCUGAUGCAGCGACGCCGCGUGAGUGAAGAAGUAAUUCGUUAUGUAAAGCUCUAUCAGCAGGGAAGAAAAUGACGGUACCUGAGUAAGAAGCCCCGGCUAACUACGUGCCAGCAGCCGCGGUAAUACGUAGGGGGCAAGCGUUAUCCGGAUUUACUGGGUGUAAAGGGAGCGUAGACGGGAGUGCAAGUCUGGAGUGAAAGGCGGGGGCUCAACCCCCGGACUGCUCUGGAAACUGUGGAGCUUGAGUGCGGGAGGGGCAGGCGGAAUUCCUAGUGUAGCGGUGAAAUGCGUAGAUAUUAGGAGGAACACCGGCGGCGAGGGCGGCCUGCUGGACCGUAACUGACGUUGAGGCUCGAAAGCGUGGGGAGCAAACAGGAUUAGAUACCCCUGUAGUC